GAUGAACGCUGGCGGCGUGCCUAAUACAUGCAAGUCGAGCGAACAGACGAGGAGCUUGCUCCUCUGACGUUAGCGGCGGACGGGUGAGUAACACGUGGAUAACCUACCUAUAAGACUGGGAUAACUUCGGGAAACCGGAGCUAAUACCGGAUAAUAUAUUGAACCGCAUGGUUCAAUAGUGAAAGACGGUUUUGCUGUCACUUAUAGAUGGAUCCGCGCCGCAUUAGCUAGUUGGUAAGGAACGGCUUACCAAGGCAACGAUGCGUAGCCGACCUGAGAGGGUGAUCGGCCACACUGGAACUGAGACACGGUCCAGACUCCUACGGGAGGCAGCAGUAGGGAAUCUUCCGCAAUGGGCGAAAGCCUGACGGGGCAACGCCGCGUGAGUGAUGAAGGUCUUCGGAUCGUAAAACUCUGUUAUUAGGGAAGAACAAAUGUGUAAGUAACUAUGCACGUCUUGACGGUACCUAAUCAGAAAGCCACGGCUAACUACGUG
rnacentral:rRNA from 1 species